rnacentral:tRNA from 1 species
UGUCCGGUGAUGUAAUGGCAGCAUAGAGGUUUUUGAUACCUUUCGAGGUGGUUCGAAUCCACCCCGGACAACCA